UUGCAUCGAUGAAGAACGCAGCGAAAUGCGAUACGUAAUGUGAAUUGCAAAUUCAGUGAAUCAUCGAGUCUUUGAACGCACAUUGCGCCCCCUGGUAUUCCGGGGGGCAUGCCUGUCCGAGCGUCAUUGCUGCCCUCAAGCCCGGCUUGUGUGUUGGGCCCCGUCCUCCGAUUCCGGGGGACGGGCCCGAAAGGCAGCGGCGGCACCGCGUCCGGUCCUCGAGCGUAUGGGGCUUUGUCACCCGCUCUGUAGGCCCGGCCGGCGCUUGCCGAUCAACCCAAAUUUUUAUCCAGGUUGACCUCGGAUCAGGUAGGGAUACCCGCUGAACUUAAGCAUAUCAAUAAGCGGAGGAAA
rnacentral:rRNA from 1 species